rnacentral:rRNA from 1 species
UACGAAGGGGGCUAGCGUUGCUCGGAAUUACUGGGCGUAAAGCGUGCGCAGGCGGUUCGCUAAGACCGAUGUGAAAUCCCCGGGCUUAACCGAGGAACUGCCCUCCAAACUGCGUUGCUUGAGGCCGGGAGAGGUGAGUGGAAUUCCCAGUGUAGAGGUGAAAUUCGUAGAUAUUGGGAAGAACACCGGUGGCGAAGGCGGCGACCUGGUCCUUUACUGACGCUGAGGCGCGAAAGCGUGGGGAGCAAACAGG